UACGUAGGGUCCGAGCGUUGUCCGGAAUUACUGGGCGUAAAGAGCUCGUAGGUGGUUUGUCGCGUUGUUCGUGAAAACUCACAGCUCAACUGUGGGCGUGCGGGCGAUACGGGCAGACUGGAGUACUGCAGGGGAGACUGGAAUUCCUGGUGUAGCGGUGAAAUGCGUAGAUAUCUGGAGGAACACCUGUGGCGAAGGCGGCUUCUGGGCCCUACCUGACGCUGAGACGCGAAAGCGUGGGGAGCGAACCGG
rnacentral:rRNA from 1 species